rnacentral:rRNA from 1 species
AGAGUUUGAUCCUGGCUCAGGAUGAACGCUAGCGGCAGGCUUAACACAUGCAAGUCGAGGGGCAGCAUAAUGGAUAGCAAUAUCUAUGGUGGCGACCGGCGCACGGGUGCGUAACGCGUAUGCAACCUACCUUUAACAGGGGGAUAACACUGAGAAAUUGGUACUAAUACCCCAUAAUAUCAUAGAAGGCAUCUUUUAUGGUUGAAAAUUCCGAUGGUUAGAGAUGGGCAUGCGUUGUAUUAGCUAGUUGGUGGGGUAACGGCUCACCAAGGCGACGAUACAUAGGGGGACUGAGAGGUUAACCCCCCACACUGGUACUGAGACACGGACCAGACUCCUACGGGAGGCAGCAGUGAGGAAUAUUGGUCAAUGGACGCAAGUCUGAACCAGCCAUGCCGCGUGCAGGAUGACGGCUCUAUGAGUUGUAAACUGCUUUUGUACGAGGGUAAACGCAGAUACGUGUAUCUGUCUGAAAGUAUCGUACGAAUAAGGAUCGGCUAACUCCGUGCCAGCAGCCGCGGUAAUACGGAGGAUUCAAGCGUUAUCCGGAUUUAUUGGGUUUAAAGGGUGCGUAGGCGGUUUGAUAAGUUAGAGGUGAAAUUUCGGGGCUCAACCCUGAACGUGCCUCUAAUACUGUUGAACUAGAGAGUAGUUGCGGUAGGCGGAAUGUAUGGUGUAGCGGUGAAAUGCUUAGAGAUCAUACAGAACACCGAUUGCGAAGGCAGCUUACCAAACUAUAUCUGACGUUGAGGCACGAAAGCGUGGGGAGCAAACAGGAUUAGAUACCCUGGUAGUCCACGCAGUAAACGAUGAUAACUCGUUGUCGGCGAUACACAGUCGGUGACUAAGCGAAAGCGAUAAGUUAUCCACCUGGGGAGUACGUUCGCAAGAAUGAAACUCAAAGGAAUUGACGGGGGCCCGCACAAGCGGAGGAACAUGUG